rnacentral:rRNA from 1 species
UGAAUACGAGACGCUAAGGCGUUGAAGUAGUGUAUGUCAUACUUCCAAGAAAAGCUUGCACUGUCAUAGAUAAAAAACGCCUGUACCAUAACCGACACAGGUGGGUAGGUAGAGUAUACUAAGGGGCGCGAGAUAACUCUCUCUAAGGAACUCGGCAAAAUAACUCCGUAACUUCGGGAGAAGGAGUGCCUUAUUUAUAAGGCUGCAAUAACAAGAUCCAAGCAACUGUUUAUCAAAAACACAGGUCUCCGAUAAGUCGUAAGACGAUGUAUGGGGGCUGACGCCUGCCCAGUGCCAGAAGGUUAAAGAAGUUGGUUAGCAAUAGCGAAGCUGAUAACUGAAGCCCUGGUGAACGGCGGCCGUAACUAUAACGGUCCUAAGGUAGCGAAAUUCCUUGUCGGGUAAGUUCCGACCCGCACGAAAGGCGUAAUGAUUUGGAUACUGUCUCGGAGAGGGGCUCGGUGAAAUAGACUUGUCUGUGAAGAUGCGGACUACCUGCACCAGGACAGAAAGACCCUAUGAAGCUUUACUGUAACUUGAAAUUGAAAUUGGACUUUAUUCGCGCAGUAUAGGUGGGAGGCGUUGAUUGUAAUCUUGCGGGAUUAUUGGAGCCAUCAGUGAGAUACCACCCUUGUAAUGUUAGAUUUCUAACUUUGAAUCAUUAUCUGGUCAAAGAACAGUUUCAGGCGGGCAGUUUGACUGGGGCGGUCGCCUCCUAAACGGUAACGGAGGCGUACAAAGGUUUCCUCUGAACGGUUAGAAAUCGUAUCUAGAGUGUAAAGGCAUAAGGAAGCUUGACUGUGAGACCUACAAGUCGAGCAGGGACGAAAGUCGGUCUUAGUGAUCUGACGGUACUGAGUGGAAAGGCCGUCACUCAACGGAUAAAAGUUACUCUAGGAUAACAGGCUGAUCUCCCCCAAGAGUUCACAUCGACGGGGAGGUUUGGCACCUCGAUGUCGGCUCAUCGCAUCCUGGGGCGGUAGUACGUCCCAAGGGUUGGGCUGUUCGCCCAUGAAAGCGGUACGCGAGCUGGGUUCAGAACGUCGUGAGACAGUUCGGUCCAUAUCCGGUGUAGGCGUUAGAAUAUUGAGAGGAGCCUUCUUUAGUACGAGAGGACCGAGAAGGACAUACCUCUGGUGUACCAGUUAUCGUGCCAACGGUAAACGCUGGGUAGCUAUGUAUGGAGUGGAUAACCGCUGAAAGCAUCUAAGUGGGAAGCCCACCUCAAGAUAAG